GACGAACGCUGGCGGCGUGCUUAAAACAUGCAAGUCGAACGGACUUCUCAUGAAGCUUGCGAUUGAGAAGUUAGUGGCGGACGGGUGAGUAACGCGUGGGCAACCUGCCCCUGAGCCCGGGAUAACAGUUCGAAAGGACUGCUAAGACCGGAUAUACUUGCGGGGAAGCAUUUCACUGCAAGGAAAGGGAACGCUCAGGGAUGGGCCCGCGUCCCAUUAGCUAGUUGGUGAGGUAACGGCCCACCAAGGCGACGAUGGGUAGCCGGCCUGAGAGGGUGAACGGCCACACUGGGACUGAGACACGGCCCAGACUCCUACGGGAGGCAGCAGUUGGGAAUCUUCGGCAAUGGGCGCAAGCCUGACCGAGCGACGCCGCGUGAGUGAUGAAGGUUUUCGGAUUGUAAAGCUCUGUCUUCCGGGACGAUAAUGACGGUACCGGAGGAGGAAGCCACGGCUAACUACGUG
rnacentral:rRNA from 1 species